UACGUAGGGGGCUAGCGUUGUCCGGAUUUAUUGGGCGUAAAGAGCGUGUAGGCGGCCAUUUAGGUCCGGUGUGAAAACUCGAGGCUUAACCUCGAGAUGUCAUCGGAAACCAUCUGGCUAGAGUCCGGAAGAGGAGAGUGGAAUUCCUGGUGUAGCGGUGAAAUGCGCAGAUAUCAGGAAGAACACCAAUGGCGAAAGCAGCUCUCUGGGCCGAUACUGACGCUGAGGAGCGAAAGCGUGGGGAGCGAACAGG
rnacentral:rRNA from 1 species